UGGUUUAGUGGUAAAACAUGUCCCUGCCACGGACAAGACCUGGGUUCGAUUCCC
rnacentral:tRNA from 1 species